GGUCAGGGCUGGCCUUGGCUUCAGCUGCGGUUUUGGGGUUCAGGACGCUGGGAUCGGCGGCGCUAUGAGUUCUUUCGAGGGGCAGAUGGCCGAGUAUCCAACUAUCUCCAUAGACCGCUUCGACAGGGAGAACCUGAGGGCCCGCCCCUACUUCCUGUCCCACUGCCACAAAGGUCACAUGAAAGGAUUAAGAGCCCCUACCUUGAAAAGAAGGUUGGAGUGCAGCUUGGAGGUUUAUCUAUACUGUUCACCUGUGACUAAGGAGUUGUUGUUAACGAGCCGGAAAUACAGAUUUUGGAAGAAACAAAUUAUAUCUAUUGAAAUCGAGACUCCUACCCAGAUAUCUUUAGUGGAUGAAGCAUCAGGAGAGGUUUUUAUUUCAGGGCAAUAAUGGAACUAUCUUGUACACAGGAGACUUCAGAUUGGUGCAAGGAGAAGCUGCUAGAAUGGAGCUUCUGUACUCCAGGGGCAGAGUCAAAGACAUCCAAAGUGUAUAUUUAGAUACUAUGUUGUGUGAUCCAAGAUUUUACCAAAUUCCAAGUCGGGUAAGUCUGCCUGGAG
rnacentral:lncRNA from 1 species